rnacentral:rRNA from 1 species
GUGGGGAAUUUUGCGCAAUGGGGGAAACCCUGACGCAGCAACGCCGCGUGAGUGAUGAAGGCCUUCGGGUCGUAAAGCUCUGUCAGAGGGGAAGAAGUGUGAGGUGGCUAAUAUCCAUUUCACUUGACGGUACCUUCAAAGGAAGCACCGGCUAACUCCGUGCCAGCAGCCGCGGUAAUACGGAGGGUGCGAGCGUUGUUCGGAAUUAUUGGGCGUAAAGCGCGUGUAGGCGGUUUUUUAAGUCUGAUGUGAAAGCCCUGGGCUCAACCCGGGAAGUGCAUUGGAAACUGGGAGACUUGAAUACGGGAGAGGGCAGUGGAAUUCCUGGUGUAGGAGUGAAAUCCGUAGAUAUCAGGAGGAACACCGGUGGCGAAGGCGGCUGCCUGGACCGAUAUUGACGCUGAGACGCGAAAGCGUGGGGAGCAAACAGGAUUAGAUACCCUUGUAGUCC